rnacentral:rRNA from 1 species
UGGAAGUAAAAAGUCGUAACAAGGUCUCCGUUGGUGAACCAGCGGAGGGAUCAUUACCGAGUUUACAACUCCCAAACCCAAUGUGAACCAUACCAAACUGUUGCCUCGGCGGGGUCACGCCCCGGGUGCGUCGCAGCCCCGGAACCAGGCGCCCGCCGGAGGGACCAACCAAACUCUUUUCUGUAGUCCCCUCGCGGACGUUAUUUCUUACAGCUCUGAGCAAAAAUUCAAAAUGAAUCAAAACUUUCAACAACGGAUCUCUUGGUUCUGGCAUCGAUGAAGAACGCAGCGAAAUGCGAUAAGUAAUGUGAAUUGCAGAAUUCAGUGAAUCAUCGAAUCUUUGAACGCACAUUGCGCCCGCCAGUAUUCUGGCGGGCAUGCCUGUCCGAGCGUCAUUUCAACCCUCGAACCCCUCCGGGGGGUCGGCGUUGGGGACCUCGGGAGCCCCUAAGACGGGAUCCCGGCCCCGAAAUACAGUGGCGGUCUCGCCGCAGCCUCUCCUGCGCAGUAGUUUGCACAACUCGCACCGGGAGCGCGGCGCGUCCACGUCCGUAAAACACCCAACUUCUGAAAUGUUGACCUCGGAUCAGGUAGGAAUACCCGCUGAACUUAAGCAUAUCAAAA